rnacentral:misc_RNA from 1 species
GAUGAAGAACGCAGCGAAAUGCGAUAAGUAAUGUGAAUUGCAGAAUUCAGUGAAUCAUCGAAUCUUUGAACGCAUAUUGCGCCCCCUGGUAUUCCGGGGGGCAUGCCUGUCCGAGCGUCAUUACAACCCUCAAGCUCAGCUUGGUGUUGGGCCCCGCCGCCCCGGCGGGCCCUAAAGUCAGUGGCGGUGCCGUCCGGCUCCGAGCGUAGUAAUUCUUCUCGCUCUGGAGGUCCGGUCGUGUGCUCGCCAGCAACCCCCAAUUUUUUUCAGGUUGACCUCGGAUCAGGUAGGGAUACCCGCUGAACUUAAGCAUAUCAAUAAGCGGAGGA